AGAUUAUUUUUGGCUUUCACAAUGACAUCGUAUUCAUCAGAUAGCUCGGAUGAUGAUGGCUCAUUUUUAGGCGUUGAGCACGUUACAAGGACUAGGAAACGCCCUUUAUACAAGAUUCGUAAGAGAAGAAACGGACAAACUAGAAACUCAUUUUCAGCUGGAGACAAGGAUUUAAGAGCGCCUGGUUUAGCGGAUUCAUUUAAUCAGAAGCCUAGUGGUCAAACUAUGUCAGGUUAGUUCAUCAUUAUUUUUAUAUUUAUUUGUGUAUACUGGGAACUAGAAAACUGAA